UCCAACUCCAAGCGCCCGGAGUGCACUGACGUUUAUGCCUGUGCCUCAUAUGCUAGUUGCUAAGUCCAUUGAUUUUCAUUGGACUAGGAUGACUUGGAAGCUUUUGUGGCAGCACUAGUUGAAGAUGGACAGCAAUCGAAGACCAUGACUGAGUACCAAGGACAUCAUCGAGCUUGUUGCUGCCGGUAGGGAAAAGUUUGGUUAAGAUUGAGACUUGGCUGACAAUAUAUUCUUCAAUGAACUUAGCUUUUUCAUUGCACCUAGGAUAUGUGAACCCAUUAUUAUUUUUAUCUAGUCUGUACGUGGUUAAAUGUUGGUUUAGGAGACUAAUAUUAUGCUUCGUAGGAGUAGUGUAUGACUAUGAGCACUACAAAUGUAUUUCUAAUUCAUUAAUGUAUGAAUUUGGCUGAAGAUCUCUUUGAACAAUUCUGGAUGUGAAUAUCUCUUUGAACAA